GAUGAACGCUGGCGGCGUGCCUAAUACAUGCAAGUCGAGCGAACAGACGAGGAGCUUGCUCCUCUGACGUUAGCGGCGGACGGGUGAGUAACACGUGGAUAACCUACCUAUAAGACUGGGAUAACUUUGGGAAACCGGAGCUAAUACCGGAUAAUAUAUUGAACCGCAUGGUUCAAUAGUGAAAGACGGUUUUGCUGUCACUUAUAGAUGGAUCCGCGCCGCAUUAGCUAGUUGGUAAGGUAACGGCUUACCAAGGCAACGAUGCGUAGCCGACCUGAGAGGGUGAUCGGCCACACUGGAACUGAGACACGGUCCAGACUCCUACGGGAGGCAGCAGUAGGGAAUCUUCCGCAAUGGGCGAAAGCCUGACGGAGCAACGCCGCGUGAGUGAUGAAGGUCCUCGGAUCGUAAAACUCUGUUAUUAGGGAAGAACAAAUGUGUAAGUAACUAUGCACGUCUUGACGGUACCUAAUCAGAAAGCCACGGCUAACUACGUG
rnacentral:rRNA from 1 species